GCAUUUUUGCACUGCAUAUACUAAAUCUGGAAUGAUACAGACAUUAAGAUAAUUCCUGAGUAAGGAUGAUUUGCAAAAUAAUGAACUGUUCCAUGUUUUU
ensembl:snRNA U6 U6 spliceosomal RNA